UACGUAGGGUGCGAGCGUUGUCCGGGAAUUAUUGGGCGUAAAGAGCUCGUAGGCGGUCUGUCGCGUCGAUCGUGAAAACUUGGGGCUUAACCCUGAGCUUGCGGUCGAUACGGGCAUGACUGGAGUUCGGCAGGGGAGGACUGGAAUUCCUGGUGUAGCGGUGAAAUGCGCAGAUAUCAGGAGGAACACCGGUGGCGAAGGCGGGUCUCUGGGGCCGAAUACUGACGCUGAGGAGCGAAAGCGUGGGGAGCGAACAGG
rnacentral:rRNA from 1 species